rnacentral:rRNA from 1 species
UACGGGGGGGGGCAAGCGUUGUUCGGAAUUACUGGGCGUAAAGGGCUCGUAGGCGGCCAACUAAGUCGGAUGUGAAAUCCCCAGGCUCAACUUGGGAACUGCAUCCGAUACUGGAUGGCUUGAGUUCGGGAGAGGGAUGCGGAAUUCCAGGUGUAGCGGUGAAAUGCGUAGAUAUCUGGAGGAACACCGGUGGCGAAGGCGGCAUCCUGGACCGAUACUGACGCUGAGGAGCGAAAGCCAGGGGAGCAAACGGG